CUACGGGUGGCUGCAGUGGGGAAUAUUGCGCAAUGGGCGAAAGCCUGACGCAGCAACGCCGUGUGAGGGAUGAAGGCUUUCGGGUCGUAAACCUCUGUCGGAAGGGAAGAACGGGCAUUGGUCUAAUAGGCCUUUGUUUUGACGGUACCUUUAGAGGAAGCACCGGCUAACUCCGUGCCAGCAGCCGCGGUAAUACGGAGGGUGCAGGCGUUAUUCGGAAUUACUGGGCGUAAAGCGCACGUAGGCCGUUUUGUAAGUCAGGGGUGAAAUCCCACGGCUCAACCGUGGAACUGCCUUUGAAACUGCAGGACUUGAAUCCUGGAGAGGGUGGCGGAAUUCCUGGUGUAGGAGUGAAAUCCGUAGAUAUCAGGAGGAACACCGGUGGCGAAGGCGGCCACCUGGACAGGUAUUGACGCUGAGGUGCGAAAGUGUGGGGAGCAAACAGGAUUAGAUACCCGUGUAGUC
rnacentral:rRNA from 1 species